rnacentral:misc_RNA from 1 species
GGACUACUGGGGUAUCUAAUCCUGUUCGCUACCCACGCUUUCGUUCCUCAGCGUCAGUUACUGCCCAGAGACCCGCCUUCGCCACCGGUGUUCCUCCUGAUAUCUGCGCAUUUCACCGCUACACCAGGAAUUCCAGUCUCCCCUGCAGUACUCAAGUCUGCCCGUAUCGCCUGCAAGCCAGCAGUUGAGCUGCUGGUUUUCACAAACGACGCGACAAACCGCCUACGAACUCUUUACGCCCAGUAAUUCCGGACAACGCUUGCACCCUACGUAUUACCGCGGCUGCUGGCACGUAGUUAGCCGGUGCUUCUUCUGCAGGUACCGUCACUUGCGCUUCGUCCCUGCUGAAAGAGGUUUACAACCCGAAGGCCGUCAUCCCUCACGCGGCGUCGCUGCAUCA